GGGGAAUUUUGCACAAUGGGGGAAACCCUGAUGCAGCAACGCCGCGUGAGUGAAGAAGGCCUUCGGGUUGUAAAGCUCUUUCGGUUAGAAAGAAGGGUUUAAUGGUUAAUACCCAUUAAGUCUGACGGUACUAAAAGAAGAAGCACCGGCUAAUUCCGUGCCAGCAGCCGCGGUAAUACGGAAGGUGCAAGCGUUGUUCGGAAUGACUGGGCGUAAAGGGCGCGUAGGCGGGUUUGUAAGUCAGCUGUGAAAUCCCAGGGCUCAACCUUGGAAUUGCAGUUGAAACUACAAGUCUUGAAUAUCUGAGAGGGCGGCGGAAUUCCGGGUGUAGAGGUAAAAUUCGUAGAUAUCCGGAGGAACACCAGAAGCGAAGGCGGCCACCUGGUGGAUUAUUGACGCUAAAGUGCGAAAGCGUGGGGAGCAAAC
rnacentral:rRNA from 1 species